rnacentral:rRNA from 1 species
UACGGGGGGAGCAAGCGUUGUUCGGAUUUACUGGGCGUAAAGGGUGUGUAGGCGGUUCUUUAAGUUUGGUGUGAAAUCUCCCGGCUCAACCGGGAGGGUGCGCCGAAUACUGAGGGACUUCGAGUGCGGGAGAGGAAAGUGGAAUUCCUGGUGUAGCGGUGAAAUGCGUAGAUAUCAGGAGGAACACCGGUGGUGUAGACGGCUUUCUGGACCGUAACUGACGCUGAGACACGAAAGCGUGGGUAGCAAACAGG